UGGGGAAUUUUGGACAACGGGCGCAAGCCUGAUCCAGCAAUGCCGCGUGCAGGAUGAAGGCCUUCGGGUUGUAAACUGCUUUUGUACGGAGCGAAAAGGUCUGCCCUAAUACGGUGGGCUCAUGACGGUACCGUAAGAAUAAGCACCGGCUAACUACGUGCCAGCAGCCGCGGUAAUACGUAGGGUGCGAGCGUUAAUCGGAAUUACUGGGCGUAAAGCGUGCGCAGGCGGUUAUAUAAGACAGAUGUGAAAUCCCCGGGCUCAACCUGGGACCUGCAUUUGGGACUGUAUAGCUAGAGUACAGUAGAGGGGGAUGGAAUUCCGCGUGUAGCAGUGAAAUGAGUAGAUAUGCGGAGGAACACCGAUGGCGAAGGCAAUCCCCUGGACCUGUACUGACGCUCAUGCACGAAAGCGUGGGGAGCAAACA
rnacentral:rRNA from 1 species